rnacentral:rRNA from 1 species
UGGGGAAUUUUCCACAAUGGGCGAAAGCCUGAUGGAGCAAUACCGCGUGAAGGAAGACGGCCUGUGGGUUGUAAACUUCUUUUCUUAGAGAAGAAAAAAAUGACGGUAUCUAAGGAAUAAGCACCGGCUAACUCCGUGCCAGCAGCCGCGGUAAUACGGGGGGUGCAAGCGUUGUCCGGAAUGAUUGGGCGUAAAGCAUCUGUAGGUUGUUUUUCAAGUCAACUGUCAAAUACCAGAGCUUAACUUUGGACAGGCAGUUGAGCACUGAGAGACUUGAGUAUGGUAGGGGUAGAGGGAAUUCCUAGUGGAGCGGUGAAAUGCACAGAGAUUAGGAAGAACACCAGUGGCGAAAGCGCUCUACUGGGCCAUAACUGACACUGAGAGAUGAAAGUUGGGGGAG